UACAGGGGGUGCAAACGUUGCUCGGAAUUAUUGGGCGUAAAGCGCGCGUAGGCGGCCACUUAAGUCGGAUGUGAAAGCCCCUGGCUCAACUGGGGAAGUGCACCCGAAACUGAGCGGCUUGAAUGCAAAAGAGGGUCGCGGAAUUCCCGGUGUAGAGGUGAAAUUCGUAGAUAUCGGGAGGAACACCAGUGGCGAAGGCGGCGACCUGGGCCAAUAUUGACGCUGAGGUGCGAAAGCGUGGGGAGCAAACAGG
rnacentral:rRNA from 1 species